rnacentral:rRNA from 1 species
UACGUAGGGUGCAAGCGUUGUCCGGAAUCAUUGGGCGUAAAGCGCGUGUAGGCGGCCCGGUAAGUCCGCUGUGAAAGUCGGGGGCUCAACCCUCGGAUGCCGGUGGAUACUGUCGGGCUAGAGUGCGGGAGAGGCGAGUGGAAUUCCCGGUGUAGCGGUGAAAUGCGCAGAUAUCAGGAGGAACACCAAUGGCGAAGGCAGCUCGCUGGGACGGUACUGACGCUGAGACGCGAAAGCGUGGGGAGCAAACAGG